CCUACGGGAGGCAGCAUUGGGGAAUCUUGCACAAUGGGCGCAAGCCUGAUGCAGCCAUGCCGCGUGUAUGAAGAAGGCCUUCGGGUUGUAAAGUACUUUCAGUCGUUAGGAAGGUGUUAAGGUUAAUAACCUUAGCCAUUUACGUUAGCGACUGAAGAAGCACCGGCUAACUCCGUCCCAGCAGCCGCGGUAAUACGGAGGGUGCGAGCGUUAAUCGGAAUUACUGGGCGUAAAGGGCACGCAGGCGGUUGAUUAGGUUGGAUGUGAAAUCCCAGGGCUUGGCCUGGGAAUGGCAAUCAGGACUGGUUAGCUAGAAUCGUGUAGAGGGUGGUAAAAUUCCAAGUGUAGCGGUGAAAUGCGUAGGGAUGUGGAGGAAUACCGGUGGCGAAGGCGGCCGCCUGGACAAAGACUGACGCACAGGUGCGAAAGCGUGGGGAGCAAACAGGAUUGGAUACCCUAGUAGUC
rnacentral:rRNA from 1 species